ensembl:lncRNA
UCGCUACAGUCCUGAGAGGUCAAAGAAGCUUGGCUCUGAUCAGAGUGAAGCCUUCCCCGCUGAAGCACGGAAGGGGCGAAGGCGCUCAGAGCCAAUGAGUGUGAGCAGUACAAAAGCCAAGUGGGCCCUCCUGCAGGAGAUCAAAGAGCACAAAUCCAUUCACCACCUGCACACACAAUGAUGUUAAUUAUGGAGCCCAUCAGCGAAGGACUUUGUCAUGUCACUUCCUUAGUGACUGCAGACUUAGUUUUGA